rnacentral:snRNA from 1 species
GCGCUCACUUCAGCAGGACAUAUACCAACACUGAAACAAUAGAUUAGCAAAGUCUUUGGGUAAAGAUGGCAUAUAAAUUUGUGAUACAUUCAACAUAUUU